UGUAAAGUACUUUCAGCUGGGAGGAAGGGAGUAAAGUUAAUACCUUUGCUCAUUGACGUUACCCGCAGACGAAGCACCGGCUAACUCCGUGCCAGCAGCCGCGGUAAUACGGAGGGUGCAAGCGUUAAUUGUAAUUAUUGGGCGUAAAGCGCACGCAGGCAGUUUGUUAAGUCAGAUGUGAAAUCCCCGGGCUCAAUCCUGGGAACUGCAUCUGAUACUGGCAAGCUUGAGUCUCGUAGAGGGGGGUAGAAUUCCAGGUGUAGCGGUGAAAUGAGUAGAGAUUAGGAGGAAUACCGGUGGUGAAGAGAGUGCCCUCGGAGGAAGAAUGACGCUCAGGUGCGAAAGUGUGGGGAGCAAACAGGAUUAGAUGCAAGGGUAGUUCACGCGGUAAACGAUGUCGAGUUGGAGGUUGUGACAUCGAGGUGUGGUUUCCGGAGAUAAGGCGUUAAGUCGCCAGCAAUGGGGAGUACGGCCGCAAGGUUAAAACUCAAAUGAAUUGACGGGGGGCAGCACACAGCGGUGGAGCAUGUGGUUUAAUGUCGAUGUAAUGUGAAGAACCUUAAGCGGUCUUGACAUCCAAGGCAGUCUUCAGAGACGAGAAUGUGCCUUAUGGAGCCGUGAGACACGGUGUCGCAUGGUCGUCGUCAGCUCGUGCUGUGGGAGGAAGGGCUAAGUCUCAGUCCCAGCGCGACCGUUCUCCUUCGCAGCCAGGGUCUCGAUCGUGACCUCAAAGGAGCAUUACAGCGCCAAAUAGGAGGAAGAAGGCGAGGAUGUCUAGUGGUGAAGACAGUUUUGAUAAGGUUUUCACACGAGAAUCUAAGGAGCUCAGAAAGAGAAGGUACUUUGCAAGAGCAAUCCCACAUCAAGAGGCAAGUUCUAGUCGGGAUAGUCGUCCGUAAGUCAUCUUCAUGAAGUGAAGGUAACUAGAAUUGACGGAUCA
rnacentral:rRNA from 1 species